rnacentral:rRNA from 1 species
GACGAACGCUGGCGGCGUGCUUAACACAUGCAAGUCGAACGAAGUGGCGAACGGGUGAGUAAUACGUGGGUAACCUGCCCUCCUUUUUGGGAUAAGCCUUGGAAACGGGGUCUAAUACCGAAUAAAGGGGGAUGGGCUCGCGGCCUAUCAGCUGGGUGGUGGGGUGAUGGCCUACCCAGGCGGUGACGGGUAGCCGGCCUGAGAGGGUGACCGGCCACAUUGGGAGUGAGAUACGGCACAGACUCCUACGGGAGGCGGCAGUGGGGGAUAGUGCACAAUGUGCGAAAGCCUGAUGUAGCGACGCCGCGUGGGGGAUGAAGGCUUGCGGGUUGUAAACCUCGUUCGCUAGCGAACGGGGAGGUGGAGAAGAAGCGCCGGCUAACUACGUGCCAGCAGCCGCGGUAAUAC